rnacentral:rRNA from 1 species
UACGAAGGGGGCUAGCGUUGCUCGGAAUCACUGGGCGUAAAGCGCACGUAGGCGGGUUGCUAAGUCAGGGGUGAAAUCCUGGAGCUCAACUCCAGAACUGCCUUCGAUACUGGCGAUCUAGAGUCCGGGAGAGGUGAGUGGAACUGCGAGUGUAGAGGUGAAAUUCGUAGAUAUUCGCAAGAACACCAGUGGCGAAGGCGGCUCACUGGCCCGGUACUGACGCUGAGGUGCGAAAGCGUGGGGAGCGAACAGG